rnacentral:tRNA from 1 species
GCCCGGAUGGCGGAAUUGGUAGACGCAGGGGACUUAAAAUCCCCCGGCUUUUAGCCGUGCCGGUUCAAGUCCGGCUCCGGGCA